rnacentral:rRNA from 1 species
GACGAACGCUGGCGGCGUGCUUAAUACAUGCAAGUCGAGCGAGAAGCCACCGCUCCGUAAGGAGUGGUGGUGGAAAGCGGCGAACGGGUGAGUAACACGUGGGUAACGUGCCCCGAACACUGGGAUAACGGCGGGAAACCGCCGCUAAUACCGGAUAACCCUGCAGCGUCGCAUGAUGCAGCAGGCAAAGCUCCGACGGUUCGGGAUCGGCCCGCGGCGUAUCAGCUUGUUGGUGGGGUAACGGCCUACCAAGGCAGUGACGCGUAGCUGGCGUGAGAGCGCGACCAGCCACACUGGGACUGAGACACGGUCCAGACUCCUACGGGAGGCAGCAGUAGGGAAUCUUGCGCAAUGGGCGAAAGCCUGACGCAGCGACGCCGCGUGAGGGAUGAAGGCCUUCGGGUUGUAAACCUCUUUCAGCGGGGACGAAGCCUCACGGUGACGGUACCCGCAGAAGAAGGUCCGGCCAACUACGUGCCAGCCGCCGCAGUAA